rnacentral:rRNA from 1 species
UACGUAGGGACCAAGCGUUGUUCGGAUUUACUGGGCGUAAAGGGCGCGUAGGCGGCGUGACAAGUCACUUGUGAAAUCUCCGGGCUUAACCCGGAACUGCCAAGUGAUACUGUCGUGCUAGAGUGCGGAAGGGGCAAUCGGAAUUCUCGGUGUAGCGGUGAAAUGCGUAGAUAUCGAGAGGAACACCUGAGGUGAAGACAGGUUGCUGGGCCGACACUGACGCUGAGUGCGCGAAAGCCAGGGGAGCAAACGGG